ACAGAAAAGAUAUGACCGCUUGUUUGUAAAAAGACAAGAGGAAAGUCCGGGCUCCUUCGGAAAAAAAGCCGGUUAACAACCGGGCAAAUUAAAGAACAGCAAUGCUAAGCUUUAAUUUGACAGAUAGUGCAACAGAAAAAAUACCGCCUGGAAACAGGUAAGGGUGAAAUGGUGGGGUAAGAGCUCACCGCGUUUUUGGUAACAAAAACGGCUGUGAAAACCUCUUUUGGAGCAAGAUCAAGCAGUAACCGAAUUUCCGAUACUGUGGUUACGGGUAGAUCGCUAAAGCAUGAUAGCAAUAUCCUGCGUAGAUAGAUGGUCAUACUAUAUUUUUCGAAAUAUAGACAGAACCCGGCUUAUAUCUUUUCUGUUUUU
rnacentral:RNase_P_RNA from 1 species